UAUCUCUCUUAUUCUCCCCUGCGAUUUGGUGUAGAUUCGGAAGAUACACUACUAUGCGCAGAUCCGUUCUUGUUUUGUUUCGAUUUACAUGCUUGCUGUUUGUAUAAUUUUGAACUCGUAGCACUCGAUGGUGGGUGGAUUUGGGUUGGUUGUCUAUGAGUUGGAAUCGUGGAGACCAGGGCCCCUCACAUUUGGAGGCGGAAGGUAUUGAAUGGAUUCGGGCAGAAUUUGGGGAAAGAAUGUCUAGGUGGGGAGAGGGGGAAUCUAUGCUACUGCAGGAGUUAAUUGUGGGAUAAUCUCCAUGCUGAUCUCAUGACCGUGAACUUGCAGGAAAGGCAUGAUCGUACUCUAUUGCAAUUCUGGAUUAUAACUACCCCCAUAUUAGAAACCCUAGAUCUACUCCUCUGCAAAAAAAAACCCCCCAGAUCUGCUCCCCUUCAAAAAAAAAAUCUACUCCCCUGCAAAAAUAAGAAAACCUAGAUCUAAUACACAAUGGUGCGAUCUAGUUGUAUCCCUGUCACUCAAAUUGAUUCAAAUCUCCUAUGGUGGAAUACAAUUGGAUAGGUGAUGGGAGUCCAAUACUUCUAACCUGGUCCUAAUAUAUAAAUAAACCACGAUGUAACAAAAAGACAACAAAUCGAAACAGGUAGAAUAAACAAAAAAAAUCGUGGGGAGACCUUUGUGUUUCUCGGCUUAAAUCAUUCCAUAUGAGAUCAUAAGAGGGAGGUAUCGUCGCCCGUGGCAAGGGUGUGACCAAACCGGCCAUGGGUGGACACUAUGGGAGCCUUGGCUAGUUUUCUCUUGGGUUUAUCAUGUCGAUUAUGCGCAUGGAGGAGCUAUGAUUUUAUUUGUAUUUCUUAAUUGUAUUAUACCGUUAUAUAAUCUAGAUAUAUAGAAUAGAAUAGACUAAUCUCGAUUUGUCAAGUCUCAUGAUCGUAUCAUGAUCUAUUUUUAUUUGGCUCAAUCUUUCUAAAAAAGGGCUUUCUUAGAUGUAGGUUCGGCACUCGAAGUUGAUGUUAUCCCCUUGAUAGCCCCAACAUAGCUCCGCCAUUAGUCCUUGUCACUUGAACUCAAUGUUAUUAGUCUCCAAUUUGAUUUGUACACACAAUCUCGAAGGAAUGUUACAUUAGACCCACAUAUCAGGUUUAUUCAUAUAGGUGACUACCAUGUUGUGUAGUGAAGCUCCUUGAGGGACACCAUUUGGUGGAAAGACGUUGAUUACUUUGCCGCUAACGCACGUAAAUUUUAACUUUAGAUGAUUUGUUCGUUACAUGUUCCGUGACGAAGUAAAAAAAAUAUUUUUGUCUAGUAGAUGCUACUUACCCUAUUUGGACUGGAUUAAAGUAUCACGAAGGUUUGAGCCUAACAAUAGUUGAUGUUUGUGUUCUUCUACCUCUGCUUUGAUGAUAAACCCAAGAUAUGUGUCCUUGUAAAUCACCAAAUUAUUUAAAUCCUAUCCAAGCACAUUAGUUAUGACCAUGUAAUACCCCAGCCUCGAGCUGGCCCUAUAUACCAACACUAAUUUUUCUUGCGCACCAGGGAUCAACUUCCUAGUUGGUAUAAGUAUCCUAUCAAUCCUAUUAAGCCAAGCACACUUAACCUUGAGGUUCUUUGGAGAUGAGCUUCCAAAAAAUAAUAUGCACCUUGUUGAUAUGAGUAUCCUAUCAAUCCUAUUAAGCCUUGGUCUAGGAUGUCACUGACCAUUAGAGAAGCUUGGCUUCGUGAGCUCUAGAUUCGUCCAAAGGGGAAGAAUAGAGGUGUUCAAAACAAUGCAAGGUGCAAAAUUUACAACUCCGCUUACUCCUUGUGAAUCGUGCUUAAUUUAUUUAUUGUUGUCUUCAUCAAAUUCUCUGCUCUUGUUGUGGUUACUUCGCCUGUGUUCUAGCUAGAUGAUAUUGUAUAUUUUUUCCUGAAAAUAUACAUAGUUGACUAAUGCUUUCCUUACCCUUAUUGAAGAGCUUGUGGGUAGCCGUGGGAAGAAGCUUUCAAAUUUCUCUUGUGGGCAAGCACAUUUGAGGUUGUGCUUGUUAAGCACUACAAUAUUACAACCUCUAUAUCCAAAUCUAUUGAUGAGUGUUUCCUUAGCCAAAUUUUUUUUUGGGUCCAAUAUUGUGGUAGAAACGGUCACAAUUCUUUUCCAAGAGAAUAUAUGACUAUUAAACCUAAUAUGCGCCCAAGGAGAUCUAUGAAGAACCUCUUUCUAUGUGAGAAGAAGAAAUCGAAGUCAUCAGUUAAUUCUUCGGAUUUAUCCUCGAGCUCAAAUUUGCUAGCCAUCGAUGACGUUUGUUAUGUUCCUUCUUCAGAAGAUUAUCAUGAUCUGUAUAAAGGAAGGAAGACAGACAUGAAAUGUGAUUUUCUUCGGACAAAUGGAAAUGCGGUCAAGAAGACAAAUAUAAGUUUCACAACUUUUGGAGAUAAUUUUCCCCGGGUCCAAAAUUCCAGUGGAAAAUCACUUAUUAUUUCUUCAAAUGUAGAAGUCCCAAAAUCUGAAAAAACAAGUUUUGAAUGUACAACGAAAUAUAUAGAUCCUCGAGAAGCUUCUAAAGAAAGUAUUUGGAAGAACUCAUCGGAGUCACUUUCUAAUGUGGAUGAUAGGAACUCAAUUUCCAUAUCAAGCAUGCCAUCUUAUAUCAAUGACAAGACAAAGGAUGCCACGAAGAGUUCAUCGUCCGAUACCAAUGCUACAAAACCAUUUACGGAGUUGACGUCAUGGGAGCUUUGCAUAUCCAUACUCAAAAGAGAUAUAAUCCCGAUUGAAAAAUCAGAAUGGAGCAGUUCAUCAGCUACAUUCUCCCAUGAUGACAAUGAAAGCAACCCUUUAUUUGCAUGCGAGAGUUGUGGGUCUUUGGAAGAUCCAUGCCGCAUGUUAAUAUGUGAUUGUUGUGAAGGAGCAUUCCACUUGCAUUGCUGCCACCGGCGCAUUAAGAAAAUACCAGAUAAAGAGUGGUACUGCCUAGAUUGUUCAAGGAAGAAACAUAAGAGGAAACGUGAGAUUUUUCCGAGUGCGGAAGAUGGAUCAGCCAAGCACAUUCAAAGACCCCACCGAAGCGUUGGUUCAAUAAGAGAUAUGUUGAUGAAUCCUGAACCAUAUGACACUCAAGUGAGGAUUGGUGGAAACUUUCAAGCAGAAGUUCCAGAAUGGUCUGGUCCGAUUUCUUGCAAUGAUGAUCAUUUUAUGGAUCCCUCUGAACUUGAUGCCACUGAAAUGACAAGUCCAAGUUGGCCACAAAGGCGUGAAGACAAGAAAAGCAGCAUUGGUAACUGGAUUCAGUGCCAAGAAGUCUUAGACACAGGAGCUAUUUGUGGCAAGUGGCGGAGGGCACCACUAUUUGUUGUUCAGUCGAGCGAUUGGGAUUGUUCGUGCUCAGUUCUUUGGGAUCCCAUUCAUGCUGAUUGUGCUGUUCCACAGGAAUUGGGGACUGAUGAAGUGCUUGAGCAACUGAAGUACAUAAAUAAGCACACAUCUCCAAAGAACUGUAAGGUUAAGCAUGCUUGGCCUGGAGCAAUUUGGUGACCAACUAGGAAGUGGUUCGCCCUCCUGAACACACCAUUUUGAAAGCUUAAGAACCGUUUGGAUAUUCGUAAGAAGAAACACUGAAAAGACAUAAUCCGUCAAAAGUGUUAUCUACAGAGGAAACUGCAGAGAGGGAACUAUUGCACCAGUCCCAGUCCCAGUCCCAGUCCCUUCAUUGCGGCUGUUGACAGUUUGAUCGCUAGCUGAUUUUGCCCCGAUUGACCUUGGAGCGAAAAGAAGAGAGGUUUCGUGGUUCCACCUUCGGACAUCAGAAGUUUUCCUCCCGAGGAUAUGUCGAGAUGGGUUUUGUUAGCUUCUUUUGAAGAACGAAACGGCAUUUGCUGGUUGAGGAUUAGAAGAGCAAUUGAUGUUGAUUUUUUUUCUUUUUAUUCUUUUCGUGAGAUCAAAACUAAAGGCUGUAUCAUGCAUGGUAAGCCUUGGCUUGAGGCGUGUCUCCAAUCUCAUCAUCUGUGAAUUUUGAACA